GAUGAAGAACGUAGUGAAAUGCGAUAAGUAAUGUGAAUUGCAGAAUUCAGUGAAUCAUCGAAUCUUUGAACACACCUUGCACCCUUUGGCAUUCCGAAGGGUAUGCUCGUUUGAGUGUCAUUGUACUCUCACACUCUCCGAUCCUAUGGAUUCGGGGAGCGGUGGACUUGGGUGUUGCUGCCUUUCCCUGUGGCUCACCUCAAAUGCGUCAGUGCACCUCUUGGUUGGACAUAGUACGGCGUGAUAAGUGUCUUCGCCGGCACCUCGCAAGAGGGUGGCCGAUCGGGAGCUCUGCGCUUUCAAACCGUCUUCGGACAAUUUCUGACAUCUUGACCUCAAAUCGAGUAGGACUACCCGCUGAACUUAAGCAUAUCAAUAAGCGGAGGA
rnacentral:misc_RNA from 1 species